AGAAAUGCUAUAUAAGGUAGUAGCAUGUAUAGCCAAGUGAGACUAGAGUGUGUGUGGUAUCCUGAGGUAUGUAUGAUGUUAUUAGAAGAAAUGUAAAUUAAAUUAUAGAUGCUCAAUUUCUGACCUGUGUGGUUUACUUGUUUCACUAUUAAGUUAACUUGAAUAAGGGGAGUAGCACUGUUGAGCUGUAAUUUGGGGUGGAUUUCUACUUUUUAAAAUACAAUUUGUCAAUUGUCAAGAUGAUUCAUCACAUCGUCCGUUUAGUUCUGGUACUCGUCAUUUGUUUGUCUCGCUGCAUUUGCUUAGCAUGCAGUGACUGAUCAGUCUACUUUUGAAACAUUUUGACUCUUGCUAUUAAUAGUAGAUUUAUUUUCUUAGUUUCAGAAAAUAGUGUAAAAGUUUUAUUGCUAUUUUCAUAAUAACUAGAUACUAACUAA